CCUUAUGCCAGGAACUGUGCGGGAUACAAAAUGUAAGAGAAGGCUGGAAUAGAGCAUCUCCUGGGGAAAUGAGAGCCAGAGAUACAGCGGUGCCCCAUGGAGACAGCCAGCUGGUGUUUGGUAGUUCCUUGUGGAAAGGCUGUACUUUGAACCACCUAAGCUAAAGAUUCUUUUGAGAACAAGGGCUAGCCUGUGGUUUCAUGGCCUUUCUUCCAUUUGGGGUUCUUGCCAAGUGGAAUUUAAAUGACCUCUUAUCAAGAUGGAUAAACCCAAGUUUCCCAGUGCUGGAAUACAGAAAAUGGAUGGACAAGAUGUCUUUUUGUCACUUCCAGCUGGAUCUACCAUGAAAGACGUCAGAGUCCAGGAAGAGAGACUGACUGGGCAACAUGUUAUUCAGAAUUAGAGAAGAUGAUGUGGUGAUGGAAGAAGAGGUCAGAGAGGGAGAUUUGAAGAUGUUGCAGUUCUGGCCUUCAAGAUGGAGUCAGGGGCUAUCUUCAAGAGAGAAGAUCUUGAUCUGUGGCCCAGGCUGCAGUACAGU
rnacentral:lncRNA from 1 species